rnacentral:rRNA from 1 species
GACGAACGCUGGCGGCGUGCUUAACACAUGCAAGUCGUACGGUAAGGCCCUUUCGGGGGUCCACGAGUGGCGAACGGGUGAGUAACACGUGAGUAACCUGCCCACAACUUUGGGAUAACGCUAGGAAACUGGUGCUAAUACUGGAUAUGUGCUCCUGUUGCAUGGUGGGGGUUGGAAAGCUCCGGCGGUUGUGGAUGGACUCGCGGCCUAUCAGCUUGUUGGUGGGGUAGUGGCCUACCAAGGCGGCGACGGGUAGCCGGCCUGAGAGGGUGACCGGCCACAUUGGGACUGAGAUACGGCCCAGACUCCUACGGGAGGCAGCAGUGGGGAAUAUUGCACAAUGGGCGCAAGCCUGAUGCAGCAACGCCGCGUGCGGGAUGACGGCCUUCGGGUUGUAAACCGCUUUCAGCAGGGACGAAGCUUUUUGUGACGGUACCUGCAGAAGAAGCACCGGCUAACUACGUG